rnacentral:rRNA from 1 species
GAUGAACGCUGGCGGCGUGCUUAACACAUGCAAGUCGAACGGAAACUACUCGCUGAAGCGAGCUUGCUCAAUUCUUGAGUAGUUUUAGUGGCGGACGGGUGAGUAACGCGUGGGUAACCUGCCAUGUACCGGGGGACAACAGUUGGAAACGACUGCUAAUACCGCAUAAGCGCACAGGACCGCAUGGUCAAGUGUGAAAAACUCCGGUGGUACAUGAUGGACCCGCGUCUGAUUAGCUAGUUGGUGAGGUAACGGCCCACCAAGGCGACGAUCAGUAGCCGGCCUGAGAGGGUGAACGGCCACAUUGGGACUGAGACACGGCCCAGACUCC